rnacentral:tRNA from 2 species
GAGGACUUAGCUUAAGUAAAGUGCCUGGUUUGCAUCCAGGAGAUGUGAGGUAAAUUCUUGCAGUCCUUA